rnacentral:rRNA from 1 species
GUGGGGAAUCUUCCGCAAUGGACGAAAGUCUGACGGAGCAACGCCGCGUGAGUGAAGAAGGUUUUCGGAUCGUAAAGCUCUUUCGUUAGGGACGAACGUGCUCUUUGUGAAUAAUGAGGAGUAAUGACGGUACCUAAAUAAGAAGCCACGGCUAACUACGUGCCAGCAGCCGCGGUAAUACGUAGGUGGCAAGCGUUGUCCGGAAUUAUUGGGCGUAAAGCGCGCGCAGGCGGGAUAUCAAGUCUGUCUUAAAAGUUCGAGGCUCAACCUCGUGAGGGGACAGAAACUGGUAGUCUUGAGUGGCGGAGAGGAAAGUGGAAUUCCAAGUGUAGCGGUGAAAUGCGUAGAGAUUUGGAAGAACACCAGUGGCGAAGGCGACUUUCUGGACGAUGUCUGACGCUGAGGCGCGAAAGCUAGGGGAGCGAACGGGAUUAGAUACCCUGGUAGUCC